rnacentral:rRNA from 1 species
AUGUACAGAGAAUACAGAUCUAUUUAUGGCUCACCCAUCGCCCGUAUUUAUUCCUCGGAGACUAACACAUGGAGUGGUCUCAUCUCUAUAGAGGCUUCACGUAAUAACUGUGUUUAUUUUGGUCCUAGCACCCUUGUUGGUAGUGUCCUUUACUGGCCUUCACACAAUUGGGGUGACAAGAUACUUGAGUUUGAUUUGCACACGCAGAACCUUUGCCAUCAUAAAGAGGCCUCCCGGUGUGAAUUAUUCCGACAACUUCCAGAUCAUCCAGUCAGAAAAUGGCGCCGUUGGUAUUGCCGUGUUGUCUUACAAUACCCUUCGACUAUGGCAGGGAAUGGUCAAUAA